UACGUAGGGUGCGAGCGUUAUUCGGAAUUACUGGGCGUAAAGCGUGCGCAGGCGGCGCGUUAAGACAGGUGUGAAAGCCCCGAGCUUAACUUGGGAAUUGCGCUUGUGACUGGCGUGCUGGAGUGUGGCAGAGGGAGGUGGAAUUCCACGUGUAGCAGUGAAAUGCGUAGAGAUGUGGAGGAACACCGAUGGCGAAGGCAGCCUCCUGGGCCAGCACUGACGCUCAUGCACGAAAGCGUGGGGAGCAAACAGG
rnacentral:rRNA from 1 species